rnacentral:lncRNA from 1 species
UUUUGUAGGAAUUGUUGAGCCAUUUCCUAUUUGAUUGAGAUUUUUGCUUGCUGUUUAGACAUUUUAGGGUUUUGCUUGAGUGAUUGACUUCCAUGUCUUGUGAAAUGCUCAUACCAUAUCAUAUGAAUGUGAAAUUUGAUGGAGUGAUUCAUAACAUGUUCAUUGUUACUUUGGCUUUGGUCCCAUUCAUUUCUUAGUUGUUC